UAGCUUUGGGUUUUUAUUUAUUUUUUAUUUAAAUUUUUUUUGGAUGCUGAGUUCAUCUGUUUGCUUGGCUAGUAGUUGGCUUUGCUUUCUUUUUCUUUUUUAGUUUUAGCGCGAGCGGCGCCGGCACAUCGGGUUUUGGUUGCCUGCCGGCGCCGCCGGGCGCUCGCGCUCCCGGCCCGCGCCGCCGCCGCGGGCGUCGCCGGCGGCCGGGAAGAAAGAGGAGAGUGGCCGAGUGAGAUUGUCAGGAGAGGCUUGUCUAGCUAAGUUAGGAAAGAAGAAGAAGAAGAAUGCCGCGUGACGUGGCAAGAGUGACGUGUGCCACUGCAGCUGAAGCUUUACAGCGUGUGUAUGUACAAUUGUACUGGCUACUGUAGGUGGGUUGCUUGCAAUGUAAUGCGAUCAGUGUGGGCGUUUUGCUGAUGUAAAUUUGUAACUGUCCGUGCAAAUUUGCCAGGGAUCAGUUGAGAUUUCAGAAAAUUUCAGAAC
rnacentral:sRNA from 1 species